UAUAUUGUCAAUUACUGCAAGUAUUCUGCAUGCUUCAUAGAAAACAAACAAAAAAAACUAAAUUGUCGCACUCAAGAAGUUUUUCAGGGCAAUUCUCGCUACCGUAGUCACAAUAAGUUUUAAGAAAGUUAGCCAAUCACAAUGCGAGAAAGGUGCUAUUUGAUAGAUAAGAAUCGCACUAAGCCAAUCAGCGUUGCAAAUCUAUGUGCUUUCGAAAAAACGUUCGUUUUUGGGGUUCAGGAUCCCUGUGGCGCAAAAAAUCGGGAGCUAGGGUAGCCACAGGAUUCCCGAAACUGCGGGAACAGAUUUCCGAGUUAAACCACUUGAGAGACGGCUAGAUGGCUAGUGGACUGCUUGCUCAAUAAAUAUAGAUACCAAGAAUAUUAAAGAUAGGUAAAGACUUACUUCAGAAUAAACAUAGAUACCAAGAAUAUCAAAGAUAGGUAAAGACUUACUUCAAAAUAAAUAUAGAUACCAAGAAUAUCAAAGAUAGGUAAAGACUUACUUCAAAAUAAAUAUAGAUACCAAGAAUAUCAAAGAUAGGUAAAGACUUACUUCAGAAUAAAUAUAGAUACCAUGAAUAUCAAAGAUAAGUAAAGACUUACUUCAGAAUAAAUAUAGAUACCAAGAAUAUCAAAGAUAGGUAAAGACUUACUUCAGAAUAAAUAUAGAUACCACGAAUAUCAAAGAUAAGUAAAGACUUACUUCAGAAUAAAUAUAGAUACCAAGAAUAUCAAAGAUAGGUAAAGACUUACUUCGGAAUAAAUAUAGAUACCAAGAAUAUCAAAGAUAGGUAAAGACUUACUUCAGAAUAAAUAUAGAUACCAAGAAUAUCAAAGAUAGGUAAAGACUUACUUCAGAAUAAACAUAGAUACCAAGAAUAUCAAAGAUAGUUAAAGACUUACUUCAAAAUAAAUAUAGAUACCAAGAAUAUCAAAGAUAGGUAUAGACUUACUUCAAAAUAAAUAUAGAUACCAAGAAUAUCAAAGAUAGGUAAAGACUUACUUCAGAAUAAAUAAAGAUACCAAGAAUAUUAAAGAUAGGUUCAGAAUAAAUAUAGAUACCAAAAAUAUUAAAGAUAGGUAAAGACAAAAUAAAUAUAGAUACCAAGAAUAUCAAAGAUAGGUAAAGAAUUACUUCAGAAUAAAUAUAGAUACCAAGAAUAUCAAAGAUAGGUAAAGACUUACUUCAGAAUAAAUAUAGAUACCAAGAAUAUCAAAGAUAGGUAAAGACUUACUUCAGAACAAAUAUAGAUACCAAGAAUAUUAAAGAUAGGUAAAGACUUACUUCAGAAUAAAUAUAGAUACCAAGAAUAUUAAAGAUAGGUAAAGACUUACUUCAGAACAAAUAUAGAUACCAAAAAUAUUAAAGAUAGGUAAAGACUUACUUCAGAAUAAAUAUAGAUACCAAGAAUAUCAAAGAUAGGUAAAGACUUACUUCAGAAUAAAUAUAGAUACCAAGAAUAUCAAAGAUAGGUAAAGACUUCAGAAUAAUUAUAGAUACCAAGAAUGUAAAGACUUACUUCAGAAUAACUGAAGAAAUUGGAUUCUGUAAGAUGGGAUACUCAUAACAAUAACCAAGCUUAGAGCAUUGUGUGAUUUAAAAUAACAGUGUGACCA